GCGGUGGCGGCGUGAGAUGGGGAGCCCGGCGGGCGCUCCCGCCAAGCGCGCGCGGAGCGACGGGUCCCCCGGCCCCGAUCCCCGGCCGUGGGACACCGACCGCGGGAACCCCCGGCCGUGGGACAGAGACCGCGGGGACCUCCGGGACACCGACCGCGGGAACCCCCGGCCGUGGGACAGAGACCGCGGGGACCUCCGGGACACCGACCGCGGGAACCCCCGGCCGUGGGACGGAGACCGCGGGGACCUCCGGGACACCGACCGCGGGGACCCCCGGCUCUGGGACACCGAGCGGCUCUGCCAGCACCUCGCCCGCUGCGGCGUGGGCAACCCCGGCCUGCUGCGCCGCUUCCGAGAGAGCGGAGUCACCGGAAGGAUGCUGCUGGAGCUGCCGGCCUGCGCCCCCGAGGUCACCCGCGUCUGCUGCCCAGCUGAGCGCCUGGAAGUGCUGGCCUGCCUGAAGCAGCUGCCUCAGCAGCACGUGGACGUGAUGAAGGUUUUUAACGAUCCUAUUCAUGGGCAUAUUGAAAUACAUCCCCUGCUUGUUCGGAUCAUCGACACUCCUCAGUUCCAGCGCCUCCGGUACAUCAAGCAGCUGGGUGGCACUUACUUUGUUUUUCCAGGAGCCUCUCACAACCGCUUUGAACACUCCAUUGGGGUUGGUUACCUAGCAGGAUGUCUGGUUCGUACACUGAAGGAGAGACAACCAGAACUGGAUAUAACCCAGCGAGAUAUCCUCUGUGUAGAAAUUGCUGGGCUUUGUCACGAUUUGGGUCAUGGGCCAUUUUCACACAUGUUUGAUGGAAGAUUUAUUCCAAUGACUCGUCCAGAUUUGAAGUGGAAGCAUGAAACUGCUUCUGUUAAAAUGUUUGAGCACCUGAUAACUUCCAAUAAACUAGAAGAAGUCAUGAAGUCAUAUGGUCUUGUCCUGGAAGAAGAUAUGUUGUUUAUCAAGGAACAAAUAGGAGGGCCUAUAGAUGAAACUGCUUGUGAGAAAUCGUGGCCCUACCGUGGUCGACCAAAGGAGAAAAGUUUCCUCUAUGAGAUAGUAGCUAACAAAAAGAAUGGCAUUGACGUUGACAAGUGGGAUUAUUUUGCAAGGGAUUGCCAUCACCUGGGAAUCCCGAAUAAUUUUGAUUAUAAGCGAUUGCUUGUCUUCACUCGGGUCUGUGAAGUAAAAAACCAGAAGCAUAUCUGUACCCGUGACAAGGAAGUUGGAAAUUUGUAUGAAAUGUUCCACACCCGGAAUUGCCUGCACCGGAGAGCAUACCAGCAUAAGACUGGCAACAUCAUUGAACUAAUGAUUACAGAAGCCUUUCAAAAAGCAGACAAAUAUUUUGAAAUAAGAGGCUCUGGAGGAAAAAUGUAUCGGAUUUCUACAGCAAUGGAGGACAUGGAAGCCUACACUAAGCUAACUGACAGUAUCUACCUGGAAAUUCUGCACUCAAGUCACCCAGAACUGGAGGAGGCACGAGAAAUUUUGCGUAAAAUAGAACGACGUGAAUUAUACAAGUUUUUAGGAGAGACUCGACCUGAAACAAAGAAGGAAAUUGUAGAGAAUAAUAGCCUGGCAGAAAGUAUUGCAAAUUCUAAGCCGGAGAAGGAUCCUCCAGAUGUGGAGCUAAAGGCUGAGAAUUUCAUAGUUGAUGUAAAUACCUCUCAGAGUUAUCAACAUGGAUUAUGGAAUGAAAGAACAGAAUCCCAUUGAUAAGGUUCACUUCUAUUGCAAGGCUGAUCCUUCCAAGGCAGUCAAUAUCAGUAAAGAACAGGUUUCCAAGUUUUUACCCAUAACAUUUACGGAGCAGGUUAUCCGGGUUUAUUACAAAAGUCAGGAUCCACAUAUUAUUUCAGCUGCAAAACAGUACUUUAUUCAGUGGUGUAUGCAGAAUGAUUUCACCAAACCACAGGAUGGUGAUGUUGUUGCCCCACAUCUAACUCCAAUGAAGAAAACCUGGAAUAAUGUGAGAGAUGAUGAACACAGGAGAGCCUCAGAACCCAGCUGCAAACAAAGGCUUCCUUUUAAUGAGUAACAUGUUUCUUUUUGGCACUCUUCAGUCUACUUCCUCAGAAGAUGAGCAAACCUGAGCAGCAAUUCUUCUAAAAGCCAUUUGGAUGGACUGGAAGGAUUCAUGGAACAAUGCAGAAAUGCAUUUUACAAUACAGUAUGUUUUAAUGUACAUACUUAAACAAAGUGCAUAUUCCAAAUAGACUUUUAAAAAACAACUUAUUACAACUGAGUAAACUCGAUUCUCAUUUAUUUUUGAAUGUAUUGGCACUGUGUAGGAAGAGUAACUUUAAAAAUUGCAAUUCAUUGUUACCACAAGAUUUUACUGUUCCGUCUAGUCCUGAUCCCUUCUUUAGCUGACUGUGCUAUUGCAUGAGCUAGCAGAAAAAAUCCCAGCUCAGAUUUGAUGGGGUUUUUUUGGGGAUUGGGGUUUUUUUGGAACCUGGGGAAGAGAGGGAUAAGUAAGCUUCUGAAAACAUAGUGAGGUAAAGAAGAAAUAACUGAGGAUGGCAUCUUCAAGAAUAGCAAAACAAAUUUCCUUUAAAAAAAAAAAGAUGGGAGAGGGGAUGUUUUUUGAUAAUCCAAGAUUAUUUUUCUGAUAUUCAAAAAGCUGAUGGAGAUGCAGGACUUUUGCUAUAAGAGUGACCACAGUUUUUAUUGAAGUAACAAUGCAUUGCAGUGCCAUGCAGUCUUUUAUAGUUUUAUUGUGUACUUUUGAUACACUGAAUGUUAUAUUUUUACUGUCAGAACUGCAAAACCUGCUCAAAACGUCCAUGGUGUGAGUGGUUGCAGGAGUGCUGAGCUGUCCAGGUGAGCACAGGUGGGCAGUGCCAGCCGGAGGCUGCGCCAGCUCUGCCAUCCUGCACCAAAGGCACCUGGUUUGGGAUUACACUGUACUAGGCAGACAGGCUCUUCAGGAAUCCCUCCAUUCCUGUGUCCCUGCCUUGUUCUCCUGAAUGGCUGUCCCUGUGUCAUUUUUUCCCCCUUGUAGACCUGUGAGGGUUCUGACAGUUUUUCUGUACUGGCAUCACUGGUGUGAAUGUUGCUGAAUGUCUGUCCCGUUGAACAAGUGACCGAGGAAGACCUUUUUCCUCUCAUCUUUUACUCAGGUCUAAAGGAAGGCUGCUUUCAUUAAAUGAAACCUAAAAGCUCAAAAAAGUCUGCCCUCAAAACUAAAAACAUGAAGAAAGGUUCAGUAAUGCUCAGAAAUUAGAACAAGCUGUGGAGUUGUUGUCUGGAAUGGGGAGAAAAGCGUUGAGUGUUCAGUUUGGGCAGUCAGAGGUGGGUGGCCAGGGUAGGUUCUGAAAACUAACCCAGUGGGAAGGUGCUAUGAGUGACCUGCAGAACUCUAGUCAUGUCUCCUUUGCCCUUUUUAUCUGGUGAACUGAUGCCAUUAGGCAGAGGGAAGUAGAAUCAGCAUCCAUGUACUUACUCAAAUUUUGUUUGUUGAAAUAACCAGAAGUUGUUGUGCACUCUGCUGCUUUCUUACGUGCCUGUGCUCAUGUGUAUAGUCUGCUGGUCCUGUCUCUAACAGUAUUUCAGAUCUGCAGGUGAACCAGGUAACUGUUACAAGGGCUUGUGGUCUCUUUAAAAGCUUUUAAAGAGCUUAUUAUGCUUCAAACAACAAUAUCAUAGAGUGAAGGCAUUUAUGCCCUUUGUCUGCAUAAAAUCAAAUAUUGUCCAGAAUAAUAUAAUUUUGUUAUUGUUGCUUGGAUUUGUUUUGAAUCUGUUUCAAAAGGUGCACUUUAUACUUGGGAAAUAUCUUUUGUUUAUGUUAAACCGAAAAUUUAUACCUAAUGUUAAGUUCUGAGAGCUUUUCUUUUCCCAGCAUGUUCAACUGAGCCUCUCUGAAGAAUAAAUUUAUAAACGAUGGUUUUACUAUUCUUUUAAAGAA